rnacentral:rRNA from 1 species
GUAGGACUACCCGCUGAACUUAAGCAUACAA